UACGAAGGGGGCUAGCGUUGUUCGGAAUUACUGGGCGUAAAGCGCACGUAGGCGGAUAUUUAAGUCAGGGGUGAAAUCCCGGGGCUCAACCCCGGAACUGCCUUUGAUACUGAAGAUCUUGAGUUCGGGAGAGGUGAGUGGAACUGCGAGUGUAGAGGUGAAAUUCGUAGAUAUUCGCAAGAACACCAGUGGCGAAGGCGGCUCACUGGCCCGAUACUGACGCUGAGGCACGAAAGCGUGGGGAGCAAACAGG
rnacentral:rRNA from 1 species